UGGGGAAUUUUGGACAAUGGGCGAAAGCCUGAUCCAGCAAUGCCGCGUGUGUGAAGAAGGCCUUCGGGUUGUAAAGCACUUUUGUCCGGAAAGAAAUCCUUGGCUCUAAUACAGUCGGGGGAUGACGGUACCGGAAGAAUAAGCACCGGCUAACUACGUGCCAGCAGCCGCGGUAAUACGUAGGGUGCAAGCGUUAAUCGGAAUUACUGGGCGUAAAGCGUGCGCAGGCGGUUUGCUAAGACCGAUGUGAAAUCCCCGGGCUCAACCUGGGAACUGCAUUGGUGACUGGCAGGCUAGAGUACGGCAGAGGGGGGUAGAAUUCCACGUGUAGCAGUGAAAUGCGUAGAGAUGUGGAGGAAUACCGAUGGCGAAGGCAGCCCCCUGGGCCAAUACUGACGCUCAUGCACGAAAGCGUGGGGAGCAAACAGGAUUAGAUACCCUGGUAGUCCACGCCCUAAACGAUGUCAACUAGUUGUUGGGGAUUCAUUUCCUUAGUAACGCAGCUAACGCGUGAAGUUGACCGCCUGGGGAGUACGGUCGCAAGAUUAAAACUCAAAUGAAUUGACGGGGUCAUAGCUGUUUCCU
rnacentral:rRNA from 1 species